rnacentral:rRNA from 1 species
UUUUCGGAUCGUAAAGCUCUGUUGUUAGGGAAGAACAAGUGCGAGAGUAACUGCUCGCACCUUGACGGUACCUAACCAGAAAGCCACGGCUAACUACGUGCCAGCAGCCGCGGUAAUACGUAGGUGGCAAGCGUUGUCCGGAAUUAUUGGGCGUAAAGGGCUCGCAGGCGGUUUCUUAAGUCUGAUGUGAAAGCCCCCGGCUCAACCGGGGAGGGUCAUUGGAAACUGGGAAACUUGAGUGCAGAAGAGGAGAGUGGAAUUCCACGUGUAGCGGUGAAAUGCGUAGAGAUGUGGAGGAACACCAGUGGCGAAGGCGACUCUCUGGUCUGUAACUGACGCUGAGGAGCGAAAGCGUGGGGAGCGAACAGGAUUAGAUACCCUGGUAGUCCACGCCGUAAACGAUGAGUGCUAAGUGUUAGGGGGUUUCCGCCCCUUAGUGCUGCAGCUAACGCAUUAAGCACUCCGCCUGGGGGAGUACGGUCGCAAGACUGAAACUCAAAGGAAUUGACGGGGGCCCGCACAAGCGGUGGAGCAUGUGGUUUAAUUCGAAGCAACGCGAAGAACCUUACCAGGUCUUGACAUCCUCUGACAACCCUAGAGAUAGGGCUUUCCCUUCGGGGGACAGA